GGGGAUAUAGUAUAGCGGGAAUACGCCACAAUGGCAUUGUGGAAUCAGGGGUUCGAUUCCCUUUAUCUCCA
rfam:Rummeliibacillus stabekisii strain PP9, complete genome.